rnacentral:rRNA from 1 species
AUGGUUAAGUUAGAAAGGGCGCACGGUGGAUGCCUUGGCACUAGGAGCCGAAGAAGGACGGGACUAACACCGAUAUGCUUUGGGGAGCUGUACGUAAGCGUUGAUCCAGAGAUUUCCGAAUGGGGGAACCCACUAUCUUUAGUCGGAUAGUAUCCUUACGUGAAUACAUAGCGUAAGGAAGGCAGACCCAGGGAACUGAAACAUCUAAGUACCUGGAGGAAGAGAAAGAAAAAUCGAUUUCCUGAGUAGCGGCGAGCGAAACGGAAAGAGCCCAAACCAAGAAGCUUGCUUCUUGGGGUUGUAGGACACUCUAUACGGAGUUACAAAGGAAUGUGGUAAACGAAGUGGUCUGGAAAGGCCCGCCAAAGAAGGUAACAGCCCUGUAAUUGAAAGCAUAUUCCCUCCAGAGUGGAUCCUGAGUACGGCGGAACACGUGAAAUUCCGUCGGAAUCCGGGAGGACCAUCUCCCAAGGCUAAAUACUCCCUAGUGACCGAUAGUGAACCAGUACCGUGAGGGAAAGGUGAAAAGCACCCCGGAAGGGGAGUGAAACAGUUCCUGAAACCGUGUGCCUACAAGUAGUUAGAGCCCGUUCAUGGGUGAUAGCGUGCCUUUUGUAGAAUGAACCGGCGAGUUACGAUUUGUUGCAAGGUUAAGCGGAAAAAGCGGAGCCGUAGCGAAAGCGAGUCUGAAUAGGGCGCAUGAGUAACAGGUCGUAGACCCGAAACCAGGUGAUCUACCCAUGUCCAGGAUGAAGGUGAGGUAAUACUCACUGGAGGUCCGAACCCACGCACGUUGAAAAGUGCGGGGAUGAGGUGUGGGUAGCGGAGAAAUUCCAAUCGAACCUGGAGAUAGCUGGUUCUCUCCGAAAUAGCUUUAGGGCUAGCCUCGAGGUAAAGAGUCGUGGAGGUAGAGCACUGUUUGGACUAGGGGCCCUUCUCGGGUUACCGAAUUCAGAUAAACUCCGAAUGCCAUGUACUUAUACUCGGGAGUCAGACUGCGAGUGAUAAGAUCCGUAGUCGAAAGGGAAACAGCCCAGACCACCAGUUAAGGUCCCAAAAUAUAUGUUAAGUGGAAAAGGAUGUGGGGUUGCAUAGACAACCAGGAUGUUGGCUUAGAAGCAGCCACCAUUGAAAGAGUGCGUAAUAGCUCACUGGUCGAGUGACCCCGCGCCGAAAAUGUACCGGGGCUAAACAUAUUACCGAAACUGUGGAUGAACCUCUUCGGAGGUUCGUGGUAGGAGAGCGUUCUAAGGGCGGUGAAGUCAGACCGGAAGGACUGGUGGAGCGCUUAGAAGUGAGAAUGCCGGUAUGAGUAGCGAAAGAAGGGUGAGAAUCCCUUCCACCGAAUAUCUAAGGUUUCCUGAGGAAGGCUCGUCCGCUCAGGGUUAGUCGGGACCUAAGCUGAGGCCGAUAGGCGUAGGCGAUGGACAACAGGUAGAUAUUCCUGUACCAGUGCUAGUUGUUUGAGCAAUGGGGUGACACAGAAGGAUAGGGAAUCGCACAGAUGGAAACGUGCGUCCAAGCAGUGAGUGUGAGAAGUAGG